GCCUGAUGCAGCGACGCCGCGUGAGGGAUGACGGCCUUCGGGUUGUAAACCUCUUUCAGCAGGGACGAAGCGCAUGUGACGGUACCUGUAAAAUAAGCACCGGCCAACUACAUGCCAGCAGCCGCGGUAAUACGUAGGGUGCGAGCGUUGUCCGGAAUUACUGGGCGUAAAGAGCUCGUACGUGGUUUGUCGCGUUGUUCGUGAAAACUCACAGCUCAACUGUGGGCGUGCGGGCGAUACGGGCAGACUUGAGUACUGCAUGGGAGACUGGAAUUCCUGGUGUAGCGAUGGAAUGCGCAGAUUUCAAGAGGAACACCGGUGGCGAAGGCGGGUCUCUGGGCAGUAACUGACGCUGAGGAACGAAAGCGUGGGGAGCGAACAGGAUUAGAUACCCUGGUAGUCCACGCCGUAAACGGUGGGUACUAGGUGUGGGUUUCCUUCCUUGGGAUCCGUGCCGUAUCUAACGCAUUAAGUACCCCGCCUGGGGAGUACGGCCGCAAGGCUAAAACUCACAGAAAUUGACGGGGGCCCGCACAAGCGGCGGAGCAUGUGGAUUAAUUCAAUGCAACGCGAAGAACCUUACCUGGGUUUGACAUGCACAGGACGCCGGCUGAGAUGUCGGUUCC
rnacentral:rRNA from 1 species